AGAAGAAGCCCUACACAACGGCACAUGGUGGUGAAAAAGCAGUGCUCGCUAUUUCGCGGAGACCAGCUGUUCAACAGACUUCAUCUUCGCAGCAGAGGAAGGUCAGACCAAAAGUUGGGGAGUAACAAGAGGAGGGUGGAAACCCAGAUGAUGAUGAUCUUCUGGAAUGACUGGCUGAUGGAGGCGGAUGGCUGCUGCUCUUUCGCCAAAAUAAAAUACCAAAUGCUGCGCACCGUUUUGGGAAUUUUCAAAUGAUUGGCUUAGCAACCUGGAAGGAACACGGCCGGUGAGACUGGGACAAAUUUGAAUUUCUUGCAUGGACAACAUCCCACUGCUUGGCUUUUCUACCUCUCCGAUGAUUUAAUUCUUGCAUAGCGAGGACGGGUGAUCCUGCGGCUUCCUGUUCACCCUACAUACAACCUCUUUGUCGGAUACAUGGGAGUGUGGCAUCUUGCAGUCCCCUAUAUUUGGUUUAAUCUGAGUAUAUAGCUAUUGACAAGUUGAGCAGUAAAAGUUAGGAUUUAUACAGUUUUGGUGUUUUUCUUACCAGAUGCUGUAUCAUCAUUCCUGUGUUCAUAUCACUUUGAAAUGUUUUGUUGGUCAAUUUCA